AUUGAACGCUGGCGGCAUGCCUUACACAUGCAAGUCGAACGGUAACGCGGGGCAACCUGGCGACGAGUGGCGAACGGGUGAGUAAUGCAUCGGAACGUGCCCAGUUGUGGGGGAUAACUGCUCGAAAGAGCAGCUAAUACCGCAUACGACCUGAGGGUGAAAGCGGGGGAUCGCAAGACCUCGCGCAAUUGGAGCGGCCGAUGUCGGAUUAGCUAGUUGGUGGGGUAAAGGCCCACCAAGGCGACGAUCCGUAGCUGGUCUGAGAGGACGACCAGCGACGCUGGGAAUGAGACACGGCCCAGACUCCUACGGAAGGCAGCAGUGGGGAAUUUUGGACAAUGGACGCAAGUCUGAUCCAGCCAUGCCGCGUGCGGGAAGAAGGCCUUCGGGUUGUAAACCGCUUUUGUCAGGGAAGAAAUCUUCUGGGUUAAUACCUCGGGAGGAUGACGGUACCUGAAGAAUAAGCACCGGCUAACUACGUGCCAGCCGCCGCGGUAAGAC
rnacentral:rRNA from 1 species